rnacentral:tRNA from 1 species
AGAGGAGUACCCAAGCGGUCAAGGGGCUUGAUUGGAAAUCAAGUAGCAGGACAAUGUUCUGGCGUGGGUUCAAAUCCCAUCUCCUCUGCCA